rfam:Schistosoma mansoni strain Puerto Rico chromosome W, complete genome
AUCCGGCUGAAGAGUCCCAAAUAGGACGAAACGCGUGUCUCUGAU